UUCCUACGGGUGGCAGCAGUAGGGAAUAUUGCACAAUGGGCGAAAGCCUGAUGCAGCAACGCCGCGUGCGCGAAGAAGGCCUUCGGGUUGUAAAGCGCUUUUCUGGGAGAUGAGGAAGGACAGUAUCCCAGGAAUAAGGCUCGGCUAACUACGUGCCAGCAGCCGCGGUAAAACGUAGGAGCCAAGCGUUAUCCGAAUUCACUGGGCGUAAAGCGCGUGCAGGCGGCCUGAUAAGUUGGAUGUGAAAUCUCCGGGCUCAACUGGGAGAGGCCGUUCAAUACUGUUGGGCUAGAGGGCGACAGAGGGAGGUGGAAUUCCGGGUGUAGUGGUGAAAUGCGUAGAUAUCCGGAGGAACACCAGAGGCGAAGGCGACCUCCUGGGUCGCACCUGACGCUCAGACGCGAAAGCUAGGGGAGCGAACGGGAUUAGAUACCCUAGUAGUCU
rnacentral:rRNA from 1 species